AACAAACAAAACUCUGAUACAAAACAAUUCAGUGUUAACCUUUAAUUUGGCUUUCAGUCCUUACAGUUUUACAGUACUUUCCAGUGCUUUCCAGUCUCAUAGUUGUAUUUUUCAAAAUAUAUAAUUAACAAAGUCACUGUUGAUAUCAGCUGAGUUUUGGGCCCAUUGUCCUUCAGUGUUAUGGGUGCCCUUUUCUAGGCCAGUUCCUUGAAGGAAUUAUUAUGGGGCUAAGUAAUAACUCUUCUGGCAGGUCAGUUUUUGGAUGGUACAAAAUCUAUAGGAAUACCCGUUGCCUUUUUACUGGUCUCACAAAUAGCUCCCAGAGGCAUUGAGUAGGUCUGAAAAAACCAUCAACCCAGAUAAAGUUUUUCAAUAAAGCCAAAGCCAACUUAGCAAGGUGUUACAUUAGAAAGCAAUUGUUCUGUACAGUAAGGACAAUCAAUUUCUCCAUAUUUCUUUCACCAGAACUUAAAGUUAAUGGCCCAUUGUACAAUGGUGAAUUCACAUAAUGAUAUCACCAAGCCUUCUUUCAAUUAAUCACACACUUUUCCAAACACAUUUCAAAAUAACUCUAGGAGAAGUUUUGGAAACUUUCUGGACAUUGUCUGACAAGCCAUUCUGCUGACACAUAUGCUAACUGCAAAUCAGCCUCCUGGCUGCUGUCCCACCAGGGGAAGCAGAGUGGUGCAAACCAGCGGGUACCGGCACUGUGCUGCAUGGAUGGCUUCAGGCAGCUCCCUGGGAUGAUGAGGUUGUGCCACUUUCACUGGAUUCCUCUCCACCACAAGGAUUUAUCCCUUUCGGUUUUGCAAACUGGUGUUUGGCAAGCAUAUAGGGCUAAAGUGUACUCUGCUUUUACUACCUGGGAGUCCUCUUUAAAUGAAAUGGGUUUAAGAGGUGUGAUUUACAGUGGACUGUAAUGCAAUAGCCUCCAUUCACUCAGUGCUCCUCUCCACACCUGUGCCCAUGACUGACAACAGCAAGCCGUGCCUACCUGCUCAAGGCUCAGCUGCCUUCGAAGACUCAACCAGUUUUUCUGAUCAUUCCCUUAUAUAAAUGAGAGAACUCCAGACUCUGAGAUGAAAUAGCUGGUACUCAGGUAGGUGGAGCUAUACUGGUAUACACAAACUAACAAAGCCUUGAUACAGGAACACUGCUUGCCUAAAACAAAAAUGCCCAUGUUUGAGGAAAAGCCUGGGCUUCAGUCUGUCCUCAAAAGAAUUAUUCUGAGGAUGAAUGGUCUGGAAGAGGAGUCUGAACACAGAUUUAGAUUCUGCCUUCCCAUCAUCUGGCAUGGGAGAGGAUGUGCAGCCCCCAGUGCUUCCCUAGGAGGACACGUCUCUUCCCUGGAGGGAAGGUUUGUUGCUGUGAUCCAAAAUAUUUUCAUCUGAUUCCUCCCUCCAUCUCUGGUGAUUGCACGUUAUACAGACCAAAAAUGUUACUCCAUGCAAACAAGCAAAAGAUCAUGUGCAUGUCUUCAUGUGCAUAAGUUGAAUUACAUCUGCUGCCACCAGGAAAGUGCCCUGAAUACUGUUGCCAUGCACAUCCUCUUGCUUCAGUCUCUGUGACAAGGACUGGUUUAUCAAGACUAAGCUUUACCACUAUUUGUUUUGUAUACAGAAAACAAGAGACAUUAUCCUGCAACUGCAGAUUUCCUUUUGAUUUUAUUGUAUUGGAAGAUGGACUUCCCAUAUAUAGUUAAUGAAUAUCUGCUUGCUGAUAAAACUCCUUCUUUGGAAAUGAAGACUUUUUUGUUGUUGUUGAAUUCUGACUGUGCCAAUUAAGACUGUAAAGUGUUUCCAUCUAUUUCCCAUUCAGAGCAUCUAGACUCUGAGCAAGUGUGUAUAGGCUUGGUUACUAGGUAUUUCUAAAGGAUUUUUGAAGCGUAGGUGAACCAGGGCUAGAUUCUGCUCUUUCCUGUGCCUUUAUUCCUGCUGUAGUGGGAUUACUCUUGUGUAACUCAGAGCAGAAUUUGGCCUCGCAGAUGGGCGUAACUGCUUUAUAAAUUAGAACAUGAUACAAUAUGUAACCAUGACAAAUGCUCUAUUAGGAGACCAAACCAAACUUUGGUGCCAAACCUGUAAUAAUUUGCCAUCUGGCUGGUCACCUCAGUCUUCUUUGCAGCAAAUUAAAAAAAUGAAAAACUGAGAUUGUACAUUUGAUGCUAAGUAUUGGACUGCUGUAUUUGCAUAGAAGUGCUUGUGCAGGGCUAACUGCAAGCUGACUGAGAGCUGGGGCCUUGCUUUAUAGAUACCAAGGCUACAUUCUUGUGGCGUCUCUAUUCCAUGAUGAAUAAGGGGAAAGAAUAGCCUUCCAGCCCUAAAGGUUAUUUUAAAGUCCUUUCCUUACCUGCUGACCAGUCCUUCUGCUGGGAAAGGGAGGAUGCCAUUAGUGAAGGACAGACUUCAGGAGAGCAAGGCUUGGUUCACAUAAGCACCCAUUUCUGGUGUUCAUGCUUUGAAAGCUGACCCAGUUUGGUCUGGACGAUCUUCCUGGGAAGCCCAGAGCAUCAGUGCAAAAUAGAGCUUCUAUCCAUGGAUAAAAUUGGAAUGGAGUUAUCCCAUCUACUAUACAGGUGAUUUCUAUGGUAGAUAGAAAUCUACCUUUUUCUGUCACUGAUUUGUUCUUUGUGGUCUGUUCAACUGGUCAUAACAGUCCCUUCGGUGUAAGAGAAAGAGAGAUCUAUGAAAACUUUAAAGAGGAUUUGUGUUCCCUGAAAAAUGGAGAACUUUUGAGGGAGAUGAAAGAAAUACAAAGAAUUCUUCUGGCAAACAAGCCAACAAAACAACCCCAGCAUCGCAGGUGGCCUGGCUGCAGCUCUGCGUGCGCUCCCAGCAAUCCCCUGUAAGUCCAAAGGAACUGCUGAACUCCAUCCCAGUGCUACAGCAGGAGCCAGGGUACUUCCAAAGGAGAUCUUCCUGAUGAGAUCCAGCAGUAUAAUGUCUGAAUCAGACAGACCCAACAUGAACCCAAGUGCUCUGAGACUGUCACCUCAUGCAGCCACAAGAACCUGGAACUCCAGGUCCUAGAAUUGCUCCAGUGCUUCACAUUUUGUUAUACAUGAUGAGUCAAAUGACAGCACUGGGGAGAUCUUACCCUAACUCUGGACAUAUCCUCAUUCUCUGACAGUGGUUUGUUGCCAUUACACUGAAUGCUAUUACUAUCAUCUCCAGGCUUUAAAUGCAUAAAGACUAUGGAGAAACACCAUGGAAUUUCUGGUAGUUUGUUAAAGUGCAUUUAAAGGUAAGAAGAUGUGUUUGAUAAUAUUGGAGACUUUCUUCAUACAGGCAUGUUUUUGCAAUGGCAACACAAGCUUCUCCACAGUCCUUCAGUGUGUUCAACUCUGACCCAAAGCAAUCCAGAGUACUGCAUUGCCCAUGACCUGAGACAUGAGGCUCUACCAGAAGAAACCAUUAAAGACUCAACUCAGUCACCUGCAAUAGGAUACAUUAUUAUUAUUACCUAGAGGGUAACAGUAUGUGAAGGAGUACAGAGAGCUGUAUAGGACUUGAGGCAAUUAAACUUCAAACUAUUGGCUCUUUUGAACUCCGUCCUUCAGCUCUUUUAGUCAGGAGUCAUUUUCAGGAGUGACCUGGAAUAGUUUUUAUUUGGUAUCUCAGUGGAAUAGUACUCCAUCUCCCAUCAGCAAACACUCUGAAUAAGAAGUUAGCUGUUCCGCACCCACACAACAAAGAUUUUCAAGCCAAGGUUUCAAUGGAUCUUGCACAUAUUACUUUUUGGAGGAAAAUGUGCUUUAUAUUUUUCACUAGAUGUAAUAGAGUUACAUUUUUUUAACUCAAGACUUCCUUAGACAAAUCUUUCCUCACCAAAUGUAAAUGACCUAUUGUGAUCUAUUUGAUGGGACUCAGUUGUGACAUUGUCUAAUUCUCAGUGUGGAUUUGUCUAGGAUAGAAAACAUUCGUUGUCCCUGGAGUCUGAAUUUGGUUAACAAUAAACACUCCAUUGAAAUAUCCACAAGAUUUUUUUCAACAGGAAAAAGCCCAAUAAGUUCUCAGCUGUUCAAAAUGUGUAAGAAUGUGUAAGAAAAUGCUGCAUAAAGGUAUUGGUUGAAAACCUAAGUAUUCAGUUAUUAUGCAGAAAGUCAAUCAAGGAUUUUCCACAGGGGACUCUGCUAAGCUCUUUGGCUGGUUUACUGAAUAGUAGUCAAAUAUUUCAGGCCUUGAGCCUUUUCUAAAGUUAUUUUAACAGAUUAAAUCGGAAUAAGGGAAGCUAUUAAUUUUUCAAUCAUAUGAUCUUAUAUUUACUCUUGUAAUCAAAUCACAUUCCCACCCCCUCAGUUUUACUAAAGAAAUGUGAAUCUCAUACUCUGCCUACAGUUCAAAAAAAAAUUAAAUUACAGUGAGUUUACUUUACAUGGAAUUGCUUAAUCAGAAUGCAGAGUUCCACUAAUCAUAUUUAAAUAUAGUCACUAUAAGCCAAACAUUGACCUUAGGUUAAAAGAUUUCUAUGGCUUACUUAAUGGAGACCCAUUUAUAAAGCACUGUAAAGAAUUCUAAAUCAUGUAGAUGCAGGGCAAAAUGAGGCGAUUAGAAAUGCAGCAAUGAACUGCCACAACCAUUGUCAUGCCUUGGAAACGGUAUUUUAAAUUGUGCCAACUGUAGAGCCACUGUAAAUGUAAUAAAAAUGGCGGGAAAGAAGCAGGAAAAUAAUGAUUUUUGGCUGCAGGACAGUAGAGAUUUCCAGAAGGUAAACAUAAAGUGCAUUCCAUAUGCAUCUCAGGCCUUUAUAUUUCCAACACACUCUUCUGGCCAUCAACACAAGGUAGAUGUGGGAAGGCAAAGAUGCAUGUGUGAAGAUAUCUGCCUGUCUUUGUCUUCUUAAUUUUUCUUCUUGUGGUAGCAGCAGUGUCAGUGACAAUUCUCAAAGGCACGAACAGAUGCUUAGCUGCAUAGCUAUCAAAAAAAUGAGAGGGAAUGACAUGUUUACCUGACAGUCGUGGCACUGAAAAUCUCCCCAGAAGGUGCUAGCAUAUCAUGGCUACCAUGAUUUUCUCUACCUUUGCUCAUGGUGGGUGUAGCAUCAGUAUAACUUUAACUCUAUGGUAGGUAGAACAGUAGUGAUUGUCAGUACUCACAAUGUAAAGUUGCAGUAAAGAAGGACUCAGAUGAGAUUCUGAUCAGCACGUACAGUGUCCCUGGAUGUGACUGCAAGUGAGCUGACUUGAACUACGUGGACCCAGUACUCUCACAUGGUGGGUUUCUAAUGGUGGCCUUAUUUCCAUUGCUGUUCUUUAUUAUCUGUGCAAGUAUUUCUCUGGACUUCAGUGACUUGCAAUUUGUGACAUAACUCACUGUGUCAGAAGCAAGGCCUACAUUUUUUUUUUUCUUAUCUACUGGAAGGAUACCCAUUACAAUCUUAAAGCUCAUCUAUUAUCACAUGUAGUUUUUACA